ACCAUGAAACCAAUGUGCCAGCUCCACCCCUCGUGACUCCGGAGCCCGCCCACAAGCUGCCAGCUCCCAGCUCAAGCACAGUGCUCAUGCUAGCCUCAAAAGAGGUCCUAAAAAAGCCUUUAAAAAGCCUUCAAAAGAGCUCUUUUCUUAGCCUUUUCGCACUCCAGAUCCUUUGCCCACACAGACUUACCUGCUCAGAAGCAAGUCUCAGCAGCAAAUGACCGAUAACACAUCCAUAGGUUGUUUAAACCGUGCCCCCAAUGUGCCAGCACCUCCCCUGUUGUCUCAGAAGCCCGUCCGCAAGCUGGCAGCUCCCAGCUCAAGCACAGUGCUGAUGCUAGCCUCAGAAGAGGUCCUAAAAAAGCCUUUAAAAAGCCUUCAAAAGA